CCACGAUGAAUAACAACAACCUUUUCCUCAACAUAUUCCUAAGUUGUAAGGAAGAAAAAAACACUGGGUUUGGGAUUUCAAAACCAUUUGACAGUCAUUAUGUUGCCGUUUCAUUGUGAGUGAAAAUAUGUGGUUGUUGUCGAACAGGGCCUGAAGCAGGAGAAACAUGUAAACCAUGAGGAACUUUAUUUUGUUGCCUGUGCAAUUAUACAUUACCCAUCCAAGGAAAGUGUCACAGAAGCAAUUCACCUUCCACCAGAACAAAAUGGCAUACAUUUAAUUUAACAGGAGUCUUUAAAUUAAAUUAUUUUUUUAUUUUUUUUGCAGGUCGAUGAUGGUUACGACAGUGACAUUUAUUUAAACAAAUUUAUGGUUUAUUACAUAACAAGUACCUUGGGUGAAACAGCACGUAUUUUGGUAAGAAAUGGAGAUAUUUAUGAAGGUGUUCUAAAAGCAGUCUCCUCAAAGGUAAGAAAUGACUCCCAUUGCUGACUUUAUUUAACAAGUGAACCAGUUUACAAACAGAUCAACUGACAUGUAAUUUCAUUUAGUUAGACAUGACCAGUUUCUUUUGUUGAGUUAUUUUUUUUGUUAAAAAAAUAUCUCUUAGUCAACAGGUCUGGGCUAUGUUAGUAGCAGUUCAGUGAGUGAGUGAGUGAGUAAAUGAAUGAGCGAGCGAGCGAGAGAUGUAUGUAUGUCACAGCAAUCAGAUUGUGUGUGAAGAUUUCAUUCUGAUUUUAGAAUGGCCAUCUUAGUUUUUCUACAAACAGAAACAGGUAUUCUUGUAUUGGCCUUAUUCUGACAUUGUUGAUGCUGUGUUUACUAUAGUUAAGCUCAGUAUGUUGUCGAUGGGUUUCAAAAGAGUUCAGAAUUCGAUAAAUCAGCCAAGGAAUCACAGUCUUUGGUAUACACUAACAUGUCAUCGAGGCUUUGGUUGCGUUAAGUGAAAUUUCGAAUGAAAUGCUGUUCGACAACUUGGUGAUUUCUAGGACAAGAAUGAUUGUUUUCAGUGCAAAAUGCACUAUUUUGUCUCUGGUGGUAUUCGCCAGGUUCCCAUCAAUAUAAUUUGCAUUACGUGAAGUUCAUGAAAAAAAAAUUAAGUUUAAAUCAUUUAUGUUUGUGCAAAAUGUUUCAGUUCCUGAAUGCAAGUCUCAAUUAAGUAGCGCUGUUCACAGAGUAAUACUGUCUUCUCGUUGAAAUGUUUCUUGGAAUCGAUACUGAGAUACUCAUUUGAAGUGGUUUUCUCUAUCAAAACCAUAGAAAUUUCGGAUGGCUAGUUAUGAAUGAGAACUCUGCUAAGUUUCGAAAUUUUUUUUGUUGUUGCAGGUAAAUGUAACAAGAUAUUUUUAUUUUUUAUUUGUUUUAAUGCACGAUUGGUUGCAAUUAAAAACUGACAAAUCAGUGACUCCUGUUCACGCGGUGAUAAUAAACAAACAAGAAGCCAAUUUAGCGGCAUGUCCAGAAUCUUUAACUUGCUCUAAAUGUUUGGACAUCUCUUUUUGUUAGUGUCUUCAGCAGCAUUUGAAUAUCUUGCAUUAAUUGCAGUUCUUUAAAACAGGAAUUUUUAACAGAGAUUUGUGGCAGGUGAACUCUUCAAAUAUUCCUGAAGUAGAAAAUUCAAUUACACCAUGUUGUAUAUGUGCUAUUACAUAUACACCAGCAAACUUCACAAUAGAUCAAUUACUCUGUCUGAUUUCUUCAAAAACUUAAACACAAAAUAUAACAUAGGAAAACUCACACAAAGGGUUGGGUGGGGACUGGGCUCUGAAAUAUUCAUCAGCAAUGGUGGACAGCAAAAAAGCAACUGACAAACAACACUGAGCAUGUGACUCAAAAAACAAGCCCUUGGGCCCAGGCCCCAGCAGUGUGUGAGAAAACAUUUUCCACUUAUUUCAUUCCUCAGCCAGUGGAAAAUACAAUGUAUUACGAAAAUUAACGCCAUUUGAAAUUCUGAGCAGUGCAGUUCUGAGUUGAAGUGUUUGAGAAGAAAGGGGGUGAAUAUUUUUGCUUUAGGCGGUUUAUUAGUGUCACUAAAUUCGAGAUUAGUGUCAUUACUGUCCCUUCAAGACACACUGGUUCUGAGUUGAAGUCUUCCCGAAGAGAGAGGUCACUUGAGACAUUUUGCUUUCACGCUGUUUCACAGAAGGAGUUGAGAAGAGGGUAUUGUGGUAUGAGAAGGCCUGUGAAUCUGCCUGUUAACCAGCUUUUGCAGCUCCGGGUCAUUAACUGGCAACUGACAACAAAUAAUGUUAUCAAUAAACUCUGUAACAAUAGCAUCAUCAUCAACUCCAAAUACUGGUACAUUUUCUAACUACAUAAGCAUGUGAAUGUGAGGUGAACUUGGUAUUCCUCUCUGUAGAACCAGUCAGAAGUGUUUCCUAAUGCUAGUGCUUCACCAUUUUUUCUGACAUACCUGUUUCCAUAUGUAUGUUAGUUUAUUUUGGGACAUAUUCAUGCUAUGGCACCCAGGAAAAAUUAGGGAGGGUGAGGGAAAAUAACAAUGAAAUAAAGAGACAUGAAAGGAUAAAAGUGCAGAAAGAAACACCUGAUACUCCACUUUGCAUAAGAAACUAUCCUGGCAUACAGCGAAAUGUGCAAAAGUUUGCUCCAAAGUUUAAUUGAAAUUUUGCGGCCUGUUGAGUGAUAAUUUGCUAGAACAAAAGACGACAUUUCUUCAAAUUUUUUGAUAAGUUAACGAAAAAUUGCGAGCACUAACGAUAAUUCACCAGCUUAUACACAAAAUUUUGCAAGGCACUAAAUGGCAGUUCGCCAGCAUGCGUGCAAUUUUCAUGUAACUUACACAAGAUAAAUUUGGAUUCAUGUAUUUGUUUGUAAAUUCGUGCCAGAGAACACGGUAUGCAGUCAUUGAUUGCUGUAUAAGAGGAUAACGUACAGUGUUAUCUAUGACGUAUGUUACUUGAAUCUCACAUGCCAAAAAUUUGCGAAAGUUUUUCAAGCAGGUUUGUUUUCUUGAAUUCAGUUAGAAUUUGCUUAAUUACUAUUAUGAAGACAGCGAGCUCAGUUCGUUCCACAAACAAAACAGAAACAUCUCCAGUUCUGGGUAUUAAGCUGCUAAAGCAAACAGCCACAAACAACUUGUUGUCGAGAAUAUGAUUACGUAAUAAGCGUGCGACGCUGUUAAUAUUUACUUAAAACUGACAAGAGACAAAAGAAGAGAUCUUUUUUUGUACACGUGGGAUUGAGUUGAACGAGCGAGUAAUGAAAAGUGUAUAUCGAGAGUGAUUAGUGUUGAGCUUGAUGUAAG